rnacentral:rRNA from 1 species
AUUGAACGCUGGCGGCAUGCUUUACACAUGCAAGUCGAGCGGCAGCGCGGGGGCAACCUUGGCGGCGAGCGGCGAACGGGUGAGUAACGCAUCGGAACGUAUCCUGUAGUGGGGAAUAACUCACCGAAAGGUGAGCUAAUACCGCAUAAGCUCUGAGGAGGAAAGCGGGGGACCGAAAGGCCUCGCGCUGCAGGAGCGGCCGAUGUCCGAUUAGCUAGUUGGUGAGGUAAAGGCUCACCAAGGCGACGAUCGGUAGCUGGUCUGAGAGGAUGAUCAGCCACACUGGGACUGAGACACGGCCCAGACUCCUACGGGAGGCAGCAGUGGGGAAUUUUGGACAAUGGGCGCAAGCCUGAUCCAGCCAUGCCGCGUGCGGGAAGAAGGCCUGGUUGUAACGCUUUGUCUAGGAAGAAACGGACUCGGGCGUAAUACCUCGGCUAAUGACGGUACCUGAAGAAUAAGCACCGGCUAACUACGUGCCAGCAGCCGCGGUAAU